CCUACGGGAGGCAGCAGUGAGGAAUAUUGGUCAAUGGACGCAAGUCUGAACCAGCCAUGCCGCGUGCAGGAAGACGGCUCUAUGAGUUGUAAACUGCUUUUGUACGAGGGUAAACGCAGAUACGCGUAUCUGUCUGAAAGUAUCGUACGAAUAAGGAUCGGCUAACUCCGUGCCAGCAGCAGGGGUAAUACGGAGGAUUCAAGCGUUAUCCGGAUUUAUUGGGUUGAAAGGGUGUUUAGGCGGUCGGAUAAGUUAGAGGGGCAAUCCCGAGGCUCAACUUCGGAAUUGCCUCUGAGACUGUUCGGCUAGAGAGUAGUUGCGGUAGGCGGAAUUUAUGGGGUAGCGGUGAAAUGCUUAGAGAUCAUACAGAACACCAAUUGCGAAGGCAGCUUGCCAAGCUACUUCUGACGUUGAGGCGCGAAAGCGUGGGGAGCAAACAGGAUUAGAUACCCGUGUAGUC
rnacentral:rRNA from 1 species